AUUUUUUAUUUUUUGUCAAGAAUUAAACAAUGGAAGAAGAACGUGAGUUUAAGUGGGUGCCCGGAAAGACAGACGUAAAUAAAUACGAACAUACAGCCGAAAGCAUACCCAACCAAAGAAUGCACUCACCAAAAGAGUUUAAAAAACGCUUAGAUAAUAGUGAUAAGCGAUAUGAUUUUGAUCACGACGAACUAAGUAAUAAUUAUAGUAAACAUUUAACAACUGUUGAUCAUCAGGAAUUUUCAGAUUAUGAAAAAAAAUUUCAAAUGGCUAGUCAAAAUAUAACAUACCAUAGACAGCUAUCCAAAACAAAUGACAGUGUAACCACUCUUUCGGAAAAAAACUUCGAACAAAAUUUUGACAUAAAUAAUAAUUUAAGUAUUUUUGAAGAAAAGCAACAAAAAAUACAAAACGAAUUAACCAUCAUUGAUUAUACAGACAACUGUUUUGACAAUUUACUAAAUGAAUUCAACGUAUUAAAAAAAAAAAACGAAUCUUUCAAUAAUUAUUGUAUACUAAAAAAGAAAGUUAUAAAAAAUGACACAUGUAUGAGUGUUAAUGAAAACGAAAGAGAAAAACAAAAUGCAAAACAAAAAAAUCACCACGGUCUCGUGGAGGUAGCACAAGUAACACAACAACCAACACAACAAACACAACCAACACAACCAACACAACCAACACAACCAACACAACAAACACAACCAACACAACCAACACAACCAACACAACAAACACCAACUAGUUGUCAACUUUUCCAAAAUAAGCCGCUUACGAAUGUGGCCUACUUCUGGUAUGACAAUAGAAGAAUGACAUAUAUAUGGGACAAUCAUAUGACAAGAGAAGAAAUAAAAAGGUGCGUUUAUAAUUUUUGUAUUAAUUUGAUAAAGGAUGAAUUUUAUGUAGUAAAGCUAGAAAAAAUAAAAGAAUCAGAUUUAUUUAAAGACUGUGAAAGAAAAAUCGAAAGAAUAACAUUAGAAAAUGAAAAUAAUGUUUUAUUUUUUAAGUUAUGUAAAGUAUAUGAAUAUGAUGAAUUAGGUGAAAUAAAUAAUGACAACGAAUAUAUAAUAAAAAAAAAAAAUAUGGUUUUCGAAAAAAUAAAACAUCCUUUAAAAUAUGUUGAAGUAUUGAAAUCUAUUGAAUUUACAAAAAUUGGUGGCUAUCUACUUAAAUAU
rnacentral:lncRNA from 1 species